CGAGUUUACAACUCCCAAACCCCUGUGAACAUACCAAUUGUUGCCUCGGCGGAUCAGCCCGCUCCCGGUAAAACGGGACGGCCCGCCAGAGGACCCCUAAACUCUGUUUCUAUAUGUAACUUCUGAGUAAAACCAUAAAUAAAUCAAAACUUUCAACAACGGAUCUCUUGGUUCUGGCAUCGAUGAAGAACGCAGCAAAAUGCGAUAAGUAAUGUGAAUUGCAGAAUUCAGUGAAUCAUCGAAUCUUUGAACGCACAUUGCGCCCGCCAGUAUUCUGGCGGGCAUGCCUGUUCGAGCGUCAUUUCAACCCUCAAGCCCAGCUUGGUGUUGGGACUCGCGAGUUAAACCGCGUUCCCCAAAUUGAUUGGCGGUCACGUCGAGCUUCCAUAGCGUAGUAGUAAAACCCUCGUUACUGGUAAUCGUCGCGGCCACGCCGUUAAACCCCAACUUCUGAAUGUUGACCUCGGAUCAGGUAGGAAUA
rnacentral:rRNA from 1 species